CCUACGGGAGGCUGCAGUGAGGAAUAUUGGUCAAUGGACGAGAGUCUGAACCAGCCAAGUAGCGUGCAGGAUGACUGCCCUAUGGGUUGUAAACUUCUUUUAUAUGGGAAUAAAAUGUUCCACGUGUGGGAUUUUGUAUGUACCAUAUGAAUAAGGAUCGGCUAAAUCCGUGCCAGCAGCCGCGGUAAUACGGAGGAUCCGAGCGUUAUCCGGAUUUAUUGGGUUUAAAGGGAGCGUAGGUUGAUUGUGAAGUCAGUUGUGAAAUGUUCGGGCUCAACCGUAACAUUGCAGGUGAAACUGGCAGUCUUGAGUACAGGAGAGGUGGGCGGAAUUCGUGGUGUAGCGGUGAAAUGCUUAGAUAUCACGAAGAACUCCGAUUGCGAAGGCAGUUCACUGGACCGGAACUGACGCUGAUGCUCGAAAGUGUGGGUAUCAAACAGGAUUAGAUACCCGGGUAGUC
rnacentral:rRNA from 1 species